rnacentral:rRNA from 1 species
CCCUUAGAUGUUCUGGGCCGCACGCGGGCUACAAUGGUAUAUUCAGCGUGAGUUGUUUACCGAAAGGUAGAUCAAAUCUUCAAAUUAUACCGUACUUGGGAUUGGACAUUGCAAUUGUUGUCCAUGAACGAGGAAUUCCUAGUAAGUGCAUGUCAUUAGCGUGCGCUGAUUACGUCCCUGCCCUUUGUACACACCGCCCGUCGCUCCUACCGAUUGGGUGCUGGGGUGAACAUUGUGGAGAUUUGAGCUUCGGCUUGGUCAAAGCAAUGUGAAUCUUGCCGCCUAGAGGAAGGAGAAGUCGUAACA